rnacentral:rRNA from 1 species
AUGUACUUUGAUGGUGCCUUCUCGCUGCAAGGCGCCGGCGCAGGCGUGCUGCUUGUCGCACCCACCGGAGAGCACCUCAAGUACGUAGUCCAGAUGCACUUUCCCAAAGAGCAAGCAACCAACAAUACUGCAGAGUAUGAAGGAUUGCUUGCCGGUCUCAGAAUCACAGCAGACCUUGGGAUCAAGAAGCUCAUUGUCAGGGGUGACUCGCAGCUUGUCGUCCGCCAAGUGAACAAGAACUACCAGAGUCCAUUGAUGGAAGCUUAUGUUGAUGAAGUGAGAAAGCUAGAAGAACACUUUGACGGCCUGCAAAUGGAACAUGUUCCGCGAGCUCAGAAUGACAUUGCUGAUGGCCUGUCAAAGUGCGCUGCACUAAAGUUGUCUGUGGAACCAGGGAUCUUUGUGCUCAAGCUGACUCAACCAUCCGUGACACCAUCAAAUGGACAGAAUAAGAAGAGGAAGUUGGUUUCUAGUGACUACUUUCCGGCAGAGCUUCCCGAAGCCACCGCCAAGAAGGUCCCCAAGAUAGACGCCAAGAGUGCUGAGGAGCAGUUUGCUCCGGCAAGCCUUAUGGCUUGUUUCGUUGAAGCAGACGCUCCCGACAAGUCUUGCUCCGGCAAGCUUGUCAGGGAGCAUCACGCUCCGGCAGAGCCACAGGUUCUUGCCGUAGAAGCGGAUGUUCCCGCAGCAACAGAUACGCCUUUAGUCCUUGUUGUCGAGCCACAAGCUCCAGCAUGGGCGCAGCAGAUUGUCCGUUUCCUUCAGACAGGAGAGCUUCCCGAAGAGCAAGAAGAAGCUGAAAAAGUAGCCCGACAGUCAAGUAUGUACAAGUUUGUCGAUAGCACACUGUACAGAAUAAGACUCAACGGUGUGAAAUUAAAGUGCAUUUGCUGGGAAGAUGGACAACAGCUGUUGGCAGAGAUACAUGGAGGCAUAUGUGGUCACCACAUUGGCGCAAGAGCACUUGCCGGCAAAGCAUUCCGGCAAGGCUUAUUCUGGCCGACAGCCCUCCAGGAUGCAACUGCACAAGUAACCAAGUGUGAAGCGUGCCAGUUCCAUUCCAAGCAGAUACACCAACCAGCUCAAGCUCUCCAGACGGUCCCUUUAUCCUGGCCAUUUUCGGUCUGGGGGCUCGACAUCCUCGGCCCCUUCCCCCGAGCUGUCGGGGGCUUUGAGUUCUUGUAUGUUGCAAUCGACAAGUUCACAAAGUGGCCGGAAGUGGAACCAGUGAGGAAGGUGACAGCACAGUCAGCAGUCAAGUUCUUCAGGUCGAUUGUUUGCCGUUUCGGGGUUCCUAACAGGAUCGUCACCAACAACGGCACGCAAUUUACGAGCCGCACCUUCAUGCAGUAUGUCCAAGAUCUUGGCGCCAAGGUCUACUUCGCUUCUGUUGCUCACCCGAGAAGCAACGGUCAAGCGGAGAGGGCAAACACUGAAGUGCUGCGGGGCCUCAAGACCAGAACUUUCGACAGGCUGCACAAGUGCGGAAGAAACUGGAUCAAGGAGCUGCCGGUGGUUCUUUGGUCGAUCAGAACGACACCAAAUCGAGCCACUGGCCAGACACCUUUCGCUCUAGUCUAUGGAGCAGAGGCAGUUCUCCCCACGGAACUCGUAUACGGGUCACCUCGAGUGCUCGCUUAUGAUGAGCUCGAGCAAGAGCAGUUGCGCCAAGAUGACGCGCUGCUCCUUGAGGAAGACCGUCUUCAGGAUGUUGUGCGAGCUGCUCGCUACCAGCAAGCUUUGCGUCGCUACCAUAGCCGCAAAGUUAAAGCCAGGAGCUUCGAGGAAGGCGACCUUGUUCUUUGGCGUGUUCAGUCCGCCAAGAAUUCCAACAAGUUGACGCUGAAGUGGGAAGGCCCUUAUCGGGUGAAACGAGUCACUAGGCCCGGUGUUGUCCGCCUUGAGACCGAAGAUGGCAUUCCGGUGAGCAACUCCUGGAACAUAAAACAUCUUCGUAAGUUUUACCCAUAG